GUGAGGAAUUUUCCGCAAUGGGCGAAAGCCUGACGGAGCAAUGCCGCGUGAAGGAUGAAGGCCUAUGGGUUGUAAACUUCUUUUCUCAGAAAAGAAUUAUGACGGUAUCUGAGGAAUAAGCAUCGGCUAACUCUGUGCCAGCAGCCGCGGUAAGACAGAGGAUGCAAGCGUUAUCCGGAAUGAUUGGGCGUAAAGCGUCUGUAGGUUGUUUAAAAAGUAUUCUGUAAAAGAUUAGGGCUUAACCCUAGAUAGGCAGAAUAAACUUUUAAGCUAGAGUUUGGUAGAGGCAGAGGGAAUUCCCGGUGGAGCGGUGAAAUGCGUAGAUAUCGGGAGGAACACCAAAGGCGAAGGCACUCUGCUGGGCCAAUACUAACACUGAGAGACGAAAGCGAGGGGAGCAAAUGGGAUUAGAAACCCGAGUAGUCC
rnacentral:rRNA from 1 species